GGGAGAGAAGGGUCCUGUUGUCCCAGCCACGGGCACGCAGAGCAUCGCAGCCUUAUGCUCCGAGCACGUCGUCCAGGCAAAGGGAAAGCUGCAGUCGGAAGCAGACCGGGAAUUUUCCAAAGUUGCAAAGAAGGCGUAGCAGAGAAGGGAUGUGAAUCCUGAGACUGAUAAACCCUAACUGUGCUGUCAGAAGAGUUCAAUUGCAUCGCUACUCCU